GUCUUCUUCGCCCAAGUCCAUUAAGGUGACUACGCCUCCCCCUCCCUUCCCCAGUUGCGGCCUGCUGCUCCGGCGAGUCAUCACUCUUUCUCCUGUGAAAAUCUAAGUUAUAGGUUCCCCUCUUUGUUUCUCCUGCUCUAUCAUUCCUCCUCUUCGAAAACCCUAAUUUCUCUUCUUCUUUUUUGUUAAGUAAAUUUUUUAUAAUUGAAUUUGAACUUUGUAAAACUUCAUAUUCGUGGCGCAAUCAGGAAGAUUUGAUUUUUUUCAACUUGACAAUUUUGGCAUUCAAAGAUGAGAUUUUUGUUAUUGCAUUUUGCUCUGCGAAUUUUCAGCUUAUUGAAAUCGAAGUCUCCGAAUUGACCAGAUAUUUCAAAUUAUACAAGCAGCUGAUUUCAAUUUCUUAUUAAAAAAUUAUGCUUUCUCCAUCAAUCUCUCGCCAUUUCUUGAAAACUAUUUCAGCCAACAAGCCAACUUUUUUUACUCAAGAAGGUCCUUUUAUUCACCACUUGUUCAUCAUCAGCUGGAGAAUUUUUGAGUCAUUUGCUGAAAAAUAAAAAUGGGUCUUGUAUGGAGAAGACUCUGAAC
rnacentral:lncRNA from 1 species